rnacentral:tRNA from 1 species
UCCGGCAUGGUCUAGUGGCUAGGAUACCUAGCUCUCACCCAGGAGGCCCAGGUUCGAUUCCCGGUGUCGGAA